AUUGAACGCUGGCGGCAGGCCUAACACAUGCAAGUCGAGCGAGCGGCGGGCGGGUGGGCAAUGUAUGGGGACUGCCCGAUAGAGGGGGAUAACUACUGGAAACUGAGGCUAAUAACGCAUACUAUCGGAUAACCCAUAUGGGAUUAGCUAGUAGGUGGGGUAAAGGCUCACAUAGGCGACGAGCUAUAGCUGGUCUGAGAGGAUGAUCAGCCACACUGGGACUGAGACACGGCCCAGACUCCUACGGAGGCAGCAGUGGGGAAUAUUGCACAAGUGGCGAAAGCCUGAUGCAGCCAUGCCGCGUGUAUGAAGAAGGCCUUAGGGUUGUAAAGUACUUUCAGCGGGGAGGCGUUUCCAACAGAAGAAGCACCGGCUAACUCCGUGCCAGCAGCCGCGGUAAUAC
rnacentral:rRNA from 1 species